GUGCGACACUGGCACAGGUUGUCCAAGGAAGUUGUGAAUGCUCCAUCCCUGGAAGUGUUCAAGGCUAGGUUGAACGGGGCCUUGGGUGUCAUGGUCUAGUGGGAGGUGUCCCUGCCUGUGGCAGGGGG